GAGUGAAGAAGGUUUUCGGAUCGUAAAACUCUGUUGUCAGGGAAGAACAAGUAUGGGAGUAACUGCCCGUACCUUGACGGUACCUGGCCAGAAAGCCACGGCUAACUACGUGCCAGCAGCCGCGGUAAUACGUAGGUGGCAAGCGUUGUCCGGAAUUAUUGGGCGUAAAGCGCGCGCAGGCGGCCUUUUAAGUCUGAUGUGAAAGCCCCCGGCUCAACCGGGGAGGGUCAUUGGAAACUGGAAGGCUUGAGUGCAGAAGAGAAGAGCGGAAUUCCACGUGUAGCGGUGAAAUGCGUAGAGAUGUGGAGGAACACCAGUGGCGAAGGCGGCUCUUUGGUCUGUAACUGACGCUGAGGCGCGAAAGCGUGGGGAGCGAACAGGAUUAGAUACCCUGGUAGUCCACGCCGUAAACGAUGAGUGCUAAGUGUUAGA
rnacentral:rRNA from 1 species